rnacentral:lncRNA from 1 species
GGUUUGUCUUGUUCGAUCAUUAAGAUUGUUGUGAAAUGUUGUGCACUAUUUAUUGUCUGUCAUUACUAUUUUUUCAAUUCAUUGUUCUAUUUAUGAUUUUUUAAAUUGUCUGCUUGUUCUCAAUUUUACCUCACUUUCCUUAAUAACUUUUCUAAACUCAUACAGUGGCCUUCCAAGGAACAUUCAAUUGUUGCUUAUAAUAACCUGGGUAAAUGAAGUAAAAUAAUACAAUGUAAUACUGUAGAUAUAUGAUUUGUAUUGGUAUCCUUUGUUUAAAAGUAGAGCGUAUACAUAACAAUAGUGCAGAUAAAAAAAAUAAAAAUAUCACACAUAUAGAUGUUUUUCAAAUACAUUGAAAAGACAGGUUGGUUUUUUUCCAUGUAUUAUUUUGUUUGUCAUUUAUAUCAUAAUCUCCACUGUCUGUAGGCUAUUCAUAAUUAACAUUGACUAACUUCAACACUUAUUUCAUAACAGUUUGACAAACAAAAUUGAUUCCUACUAACUCUAAAAUGUUUUUUCUAUAUCUAUAACAAAUAAA